rnacentral:rRNA from 1 species
GGGUUGUGAGGUUAAGCGAACAAGCGUACACGGUGGAUGCCCUGGCAGUCAGAGGCGAUGAAGGACGUGCUAAUCUGCGAAAAGCGCCGGUAAGGUGAUAUGAACCGUUAUAACCGGCGAUGUCCGAAUGGGGAAACCCGGUGCACUUCGGUGCAUCAUCGUUAGCUGAAUACAUAGGCUAACGAGGCGAACCGGGGGAACUGAAACAUCUAAGUACCCCGAGGAAAAGAAAUCAACCGAGAUUCCCCCAGUAGCGGCGAGCGAACGGGGAACAGCCCAGAGCCUGAAUCAGCUUGUGUGUCAGUGGAACGGUCUGGAAAGGCCGGCGAUACAGGGUGACAGCCCCGUACACGAAGGCACACAGGCUGUGAGCUCGAUGAGUAGGGCGGGACACGUGAUAUCCUGUCUGAAGAUGGGGGGACCAUCCUCCAAGGCUAAAUACUCCUGACUGACCGAUAGUGAACCAGUACCGUGAGGGAAAGGCGAAAAGAACCCCGGCGAGGGGAGUGAAACAGAACCUGAAACCGUGUACGUACAAGCAGUGGGAGCCUUCGUAAGAGGGUGACUGCGUACCUUUUGUAUAAUGGGUCAGCGACUUAUAUUCUGUAGCAAGGUUAACCGUAUAGGGGAGCCGAAGGGAAACCGAGUCUUAACCGGGCGUUAAGUUGCAGGGUAUAGACCCGAAACCCGGUGAUCUAGCCAUGGGCAGGUUGAAGGUUGGGUAACACUAACUGGAGGACCGAACCGACUAAUGUUGAAAAAUUAGCGGAUGACCUGUGGCUGGGGGUGAAAGGCCAAUCAAACCGGGAGAUAGCUGGUUCUCCCCGAAAGCUAUUUAGGUAGCGCCUCGUGAACUCAUCUCCGGGGGUAGAGCACUGUUUCGGCUAGGGGGCCAUCCCGGCUUACCAACCCGAUGCAAACUGCGAAUACCGGAGAAUGUUAUCACGGGAGACACACGGCGGGUGCUAACGUCCGUCGUGAAGAGGGAAACAACCCAGACCGCCAGCUAAGGUCCCAAAGUCAUGGUUAAGUGGGAAACGAUGUGGGAAGGCCCAGACAGCCAGGAUGUUGGCUUAGAAGCAGCCAUCAUUUAAAGAAAGCGUAAUAGCUCACUGGUCGAGUCGGCCUGCGCGGAAGAUGUAACGGGGCUAAACCAUGCACCGAAGCUGCGGCAGCGACACUAUGUGUUGUUGGGUAGGGGAGCGUUCUGUAAGCCUGUGAAGGUGUGCUGUGAGGCAUGCUGGAGGUAUCAGAAGUGCGAAUGCUGACAUAAGUAACGAUAAAGCGGGUGAAAAGCCCGCUCGCCGGAAGACCAAGGGUUCCUGUCCAACGUUAAUCGGGGCAGGGUGAGUCGACCCCUAAGGCGAGGCCGAAAGGCGUAGUCGAUGGGAAACAGGUUAAUAUUCCUGUACUUGGUGUUACUGCGAAGGGGGGACGGAGAAGGCUAUGUCGGCCGGGCGACGGUUGUCCCGGUUUAAGCGUGUAGGCUGACUUUCCAGGCAAAUCCGGAAGGUUAAGGCUGAGGCGUGAUGACGAGGCACCACGGUGCUGAAGUGACAAAUGCCCUGCUUCCAGGAAAAGCCUCUAAGCAUCAGGUAACAUCAAAUCGUACCCCAAACCGACACAGGUGGUCAGGUAGAGAAUACCAAGGCGCUUGAGAGAACUCGGGUGAAGGAACUAGGCAAAAUGGUGCCGUAACUUCGGGAGAAGGCACGCUGACAUGUAGGUGAAGCCCCUGCGGGUGGAGCUGAAGUCAGUCGAAGAUACCAGCUGGCUGCAACUGUUUAUUAAAAACACAGCACUGUGCAAACACGAAAGUGGACGUAUACGGUGUGACGCCUGCCCGGUGCCGGAAGGUUAAUUGAUGGGGUUAUCGCAAGAGAAGCUCCUGAUCGAAGCCCCGGUAAACGGCGGCCGUAACUAUAACGGUCCUAAGGUAGCGAAAUUCCUUGUCGGGUAAGUUCCGACCUGCACGAAUGGCGUAAUGAUGGCCAGGCUGUCUCCACCCGAGACUCAGUGAAAUUGAACUCGCUGUGAAGAUGCAGUGUACCCGCGGCAAGACGGAAAGACCCCGUGAACCUUUACUACAGCUUGACACUGAACAUUGAGCCUUGAUGUGUAGGAUAGGUGGGAGGCUUUGAAGCGUGGACGCCAGUCUGCGUGGAGCCGACCUUGAAAUACCACCCUUUAAUGUUUGAUGUUCUAACCUGGCGCCGUGAUCCGGCGUGGGGACAGUGUCUGGUGGGUAGUUUGACUGGGGCGGUCUCCUCCCAAAGUGUAACGGAGGAGCACGAAGGUCAGCUAAUCCUGGUCGGACAUCAGGAGGUUAGUGCAAUGGCAUAAGCUGGCUUGACUGCGAGAGUGACGGCUCGAGCAGGUGCGAAAGCAGGUCAUAGUGAUCCGGUGGUUCUGUAUGGAAGGGCCAUCGCUCAACGGAUAAAAGGUACUCCGGGGAUAACAGGCUGAUACCGCCCAAGAGUUCAUAUCGACGGCGGUGUUUGGCACCUCGAUGUCGGCUCAUCACAUCCUGGGGCUGAAGUAGGUCCCAAGGGUAUGGCUGUUCGCCAUUUAAAGUGGUACGCGAGCUGGGUUUAGAACGUCGUGAGACAGUUCGGUCCCUAUCUGCCGUGGGCGCUGGAGAAUUGAGGGGGGCUGCUCCCAGUACGAGAGGACCGGAGUGGACGCAUCACUGGUGUUCGGGUUGUCAUGCCAAUGGCACUGCCCGGUAGCUAAAUGCGGAAGAGAUAAGUGCUGAAAGCAUCUAAGCACGAAACUUGCCCCGAGAUGAGUUCUCCCUGAGACUGUAAGUCUCCUGAAGGAACGUUGAAGACGACGACGUUGAUAGGCCGGGUGUGUAAGCGCAGCGAUGCGUUGAGCUAACCGGUACUAAUGAACCGUGAG